UAAGCCAUGCAUGUCUAAGUAUAAGCAAUUAUACAGCGAAACUGCGAAUGGCUCAUUAUAUAAGUUAUCGUUUAUUUGAUAGUACCUUACUACUUGGAUAACCGUGGUAAUUCUAGAGCUAAUACAUGCUAAAAAUCCCGACUUCGGAAGGGAUGUAUUUAUUAGAUUAAAAACCAAUGCCCUCUGGGCUCCUUGGUGAUUCAUGAUAACUCUUCGAAUCGCACGGCCUUGCGCCGGCGAUGGUUCAUUCAAAUUUCUUCCCUAUCAACUUUCGAUGUUUGGGUCUUGGCCAAACAUGGUCGCAACGGGUAACGGAGGGUUAGGGCUCGACCCCGGAGAAGGAGCCUGAGAAACGGCUACUACAUCCAAGGAAGGCAGCAGGCGCGCAAAUUACCCAAUCCCGAUUCGGGGAGGUAGUGACAAUAAAUACUGAUACAGGGCUCUUUUGGGUCUUGUAAUUGGAAUGAGUACAAUUUAAAUCCCUUAACGAGGAACAAUUGGAGGGCAAGUCUGGUGCCAGCAGCCGCGGUAAUUCCAGCUCCAAUAGCGUAUAUUAAAGUUGUUGUGGUUAAAAAGCUCGUAGUUGAACCUUGGGCCUGGCUGGCCGGUCCGCCUCACCGCGUGUACUGGUCCGGCCGGGCCUUUCCCUCUGUGGAACCCCAUGCCCUUCACUGGGUGUGGCGGGGAAACAGGACUUUUACUUUGAAAAAAUUAGAGUGCUCCAGGCAGGCCUAUGCUCGAAUACAUUAGCAUGGAAUAAUGAAAUAGGACGCGUGGUUCUAUUUUGUUGGUUUCUAGGACCGCCGUAAUGAUUAAUAGGGACAGUCGGGGGCAUCAGUAUUCAAUUGUCAGAGGUGAAAUUCUUGGAUUUAUUGAAGACUAACUACUGCGAAAGCAUUUGCCAAGGAUGUUUUCAUUAAUCAGGAACGAAAGUUAGGGGAUCGAAGACGAUCAGAUACCGUCGUAGUCUUAACCAUAAACUAUGCCGACUAGGGAUCGGACGAUGUUAUUUUUUGACGCGUUCGGCACCUUACGAGAAAUCAAAGUGCUU
rnacentral:rRNA from 1 species